rnacentral:lncRNA from 1 species
UUUUUUUUUUUUGUAAGUAAAAGUAAAUUGAUUAUGUGUAAAGUUUCUACAAAUAGCUUUAUCUAUACAAGUCAUAGACAAAGCCAAGUAACUUAUAGAGUGCGAAUGCGAUAGUUAUGACUACACAUGCUGUAGACUAUAACUACCUGUGGGUACAUUAUUUGGCAUCAUUCCCAAGAUCUUUAGCUAAUAGCAAAAUUAAAUUUGAUAAAAAUAUCUUUUUCUCUUCGGGUGAAGUGCUCGG